rnacentral:rRNA from 1 species
UACGUAGGGGGCAAGCGUUGUCCGGAAUCAUUGGGCGUAAAGCGCGUGUAGGCGGCUCGGUAAGUCUGCUGUGAAAGUCCAGGGCUCAACCCUGGGAUGCCGGUGGAUACUGUCGAGCUCGAGUCCGGAAGAGGCGAGUGGAAUUCCUGGUGUAGCGGUGAAAUGCGUAGAUAUCAGGAGGAAUACCGAUGGCGAAGGCAGGUCUCUGGGCUGACACUGACGCUCAUGCACGAAAGCGUGGGGAGCAAACAGG